GUUUGAUCCUGGCUCAGGACGAACGCUGGCGGCGCGCCUAACACAUGCAAGUCGAACGAGCGAGAGGAGGUUUACUUUCUCAAGCGAGUGGCGAACGGGUGAGUAACGCGUGAGGAACCUGCCUCAAAGAGGGGGACAACAGUUGGAAACGACUGCUAAUACCGCAUAAGCCCACGACCCGGCAUCGGGUAGAGGGAAAAGGAGCAAUCCGCUUUGAGAUGGCCUCGCGUCCGAUUAGCUAGUUGGUGAGGUAAUGGCCCACCAAGGCGACGAUCGGUAGCCGGACUGAGAGGUUGAACGGCCACAUUGGGACUGAGACACGGCCCAGACUCCUACGGGAGGCAGCAGUGGGGAAUAUUGCACAAUGGGGGAAACCCUGAUGCAGCGACGCCGCGUGGAGGAAGAAGGUCUUCGGAUUGUAAACUCCUGUUGUUGAGGAAGAUAAUGACGGUACUCAACAAGGAAGUGACGGCUAACUACGUGCCAGCAGCCGCGGUAAAACGUAGGUCACAAGCGUUGUCCGGAAUUACUGGGUGUAAAGGGAGCGCAGGCGGGAAGACAAGUUGGAAGUGAAAUCCAUGGGCUCAACCCAUGAACUGCUUUCAAAACUGUUUUUCUUGAGUAGUGCAGAGGUAGGCGGAAUUCCCGGUGUAGCGGUGGAAUGCGUAGAUAUCGGGAGGAACACCAGUGGCGAAGGCGGCCUACUGGGCACCAACUGACGCUGAGGCUCGAAAGUGUGGGUAGCAAACAGGAUUAGAUACCCUGGUAGUCCACACUGUAAACGAUGAUUACUAGGUGUUGGAGGAUUGACCCCUUCAGUGCCGCAGUUAACACAAUAAGUAAUCCACCUGGGGAGUACGACCGCAAGGUUGAAACUCAAAGGAAUUGACGGGGGCCCGCACAAGCAGUGGAGUAUGUGGUUUAAUUCGACGCAACGCGAAGAACCUUACCAAGUCUUGACAUCCUGCGACGCACAUAGAAAUAUGUGUUUCCUUCGGGACGCAGAGACAGGUGGUGCAUGGUUGUCGUCAGCUCGUGUCGUGAGAUGUUGGGUUAAGU
rnacentral:rRNA from 1 species